CCCAGUGAACCAGUUUAACGGCCGCGGUAUUCUGACCGUGCAAAGGUAGCAUAAUCACUUGUUCUCCAAAUAAGGACUUGUAUGAAUGGCCACACGAGGGUUUUACUGUCUCUUACUUCCAAUCAGUGAAAUUGACCUUCCCGUGAAGAGGCGGGAAUAAAAAAAUAAGACGAGAAGACCCUAUGGAGCUUUAAUUAACUAUUCCAAAAGUUAAACAAUUCAACCACAAAGGGAUAAAACAUAACUUAACAUGGACUAGCAAUUUCGGUUGGGGUGACCUCGGAGUACAAAAAACCCUCCGAGUGAUUUUAAUCUAGACAAACCAGUCAAAAUAACCAUAACAUCACUUAUUGAUCCAAAACUUUGAUCAACGGAACAAGUUACCCUAGGGAUAACAGCGCAAUCCUAUUCUAGAGUUCCUAUCGACAAUAGGGUUUACGACCUCGAUGUUGGAUCAGGACACCCAAAUGGUGCAACCGCUAUUAAAGGUUCGUUUGUUCAACGAUUAAAGUCCUACGUGAUCUGAGU
rnacentral:rRNA from 1 species